rnacentral:snoRNA from 1 species
AUUCCAUGGUGAGGGCAUUCUAUAUAUAAUCUUGAAAGAGUUCCCAAGCCUUAGGGAUAGAUUCAUCAUACUGUUGCUGAAAAGUUGAGAUCUAUCCACGCAGGGC